rnacentral:misc_RNA from 1 species
UAAUUGAUUUACGUUCAAUGGCAAGAAGUUGUAAAAUAAUCUAAAUUUGAGUAAGACUUAAGAAAAAAAAUAAUUCAUGCUCAUAACCUUCUUGUUAUUUGUUCAUUACCAAUUUCUUGAUUUUCCCAUAAUUGAGGGCCAUGCAUAUAUAUAAAUAAAUAUAAUAUGAGCAAGCAAGUGAUGCGGAAUUAAAUUGAUUAAAUUCAAA